rnacentral:rRNA from 1 species
CAUGCAAGUCGAGGGGUAACAGGGAUUGCUUGCAAUCCGCUGACGACCGGCGAACGGGUGCGUAACGCGUAUGCAACCUACCUUUUACUGGGGGAUAGUCAAGAGAAAUUUUGAAUAAUAUCCCAUACGAUCAUUUAUUUGCAUAAAUAGAUGAAGAAAACUCCGGUGGUAAAAGAUGGGCAUGCGUCCUAUUAGUUUGUUGGUGAGGUAACGGCUCACCAAGACUACGAUAGGUAGGGGUCCUGAGAGGGAGACCCCCCACACUGGUACUGAGACACGGACCAGACUCCUACGGGAGGCAGCAGUGAGGAAUAUUGGACAAUGGAGGAAACUCUGAUCCAGCCAUGCCGCGUGCAGGAAGACGGCCCUAUGGGUUGUAAACUGCUUUUAUACAGGAAGAAACGUCAGUACGUGUACUGACCUGACGGUACUGUAAGAAUAAGGAUCGGCUAACUCCGUGCCAGCAGCCGCGGUAAUACGGAGGAUCCAAGCGUUAUCCGGAAUUAUUGGGUUUAAAGGGUCCGCAGGCGGUCUGAUAAGUCAGAGGUGAAAUACUAUCGCUCAACGAUAGAACUGCCUUUGAUACUGUUAGACUUGAGUUAUUGUGAAGUAAUUAAAAUGUGUAGUGUAGCGGUGAAAUGCAUAUAUAUUACACAGAAUACCGAUUGCGAAGGCACAU